rnacentral:rRNA from 1 species
AUGUGCUGCUUCUAAUUGUCCACUUAGGACACUUAUUGACUAUUUGACCUCAAAUCAGGUAGGACUACCCGCUGAACUUAAACAUAUCAAUAAACGGAGGGG